GCCGCUGUUCACUAAAGUCGGGCAAGCCUGUGUCUCCGUGUUCUGCCCUGGAUAUAGGAGAUGAGUUUGUGCAGCUGUGUGGGAUUGAGGAGUGCCGGGAGAAGAAUGUCGGGUGUGUGUGAGCCUUUUUACAUCAACACUCGAGAGUCAUACUACUGCCAGUGCUGGCCAUGCAGUGUACAGACUCGUGUCAGAAAGUUCAAGUGUGAAGACGUUGAUGAGUGCGUGGAGUCGCUUAGAUCCUCUCCCUGUGGACCAUCCCCUCAGCAGUGU